rnacentral:rRNA from 1 species
AUAAGAUUGUAGUAAUCGCAUGAUAUAGCAAUUAAAGGAGCAAUUACGCUAUAAGAUGGACCCGCGUCGCAUUAGCUAGUUGGUGAGGUAAUGGCUCACCAAGGCGACGAUGCGUAGCCGACCUGAGAGGGUGAUCGGCCACAUUGGGACUGAGACACGGCCCAGACUCCUACGGGAGGCAGCAUG